CUUGUUCACCAUCAGGUAUCUACCAAACUCGCUGCGACUUAUAACUCAUUCCACCUACUACAAGUGGUAUAUAAUUGCAAUAAUCCAGCAUUUAUCUAUUCAUACAACAACCAAGUUUUAUCUCACAUUCUUUGGGCAAUGAAAACUGGGAUGAGACUGAGAGAAUCCAUAACAAUUGCUUUCCUCCCCGUCGCCUUCUUGUUCCUGCUUUCUUUUGUAGCUUGUGCAGGGCCGUUGAGGUGGAUUCUUCUCUCAAGCUAUCUCAUCUACUACCUAUCUUUGUCUCUCUGGAUUUUGGCUGCAUUGUAUACUACUUGACAUCCAUUCCAUCAUGAGGGAACCGAGAAUGUUUUGAAAUGAGGGGUUUCACUGUCUCUAUUUUCUUACUUUUUGCUUUCCUUUAACCACUUUGACUGAUAAAAUCAACAAUCUUUUUUUGUUCUGAACCAUAAAGAGAGUAAUGUGGAAUUUUGAUCUUCCGCUUGUUAUUUUAAAGAAGCUACGUCUUCAACCUUCUCGCAUCUCAGUAUCGAACUAGCGCUUUUGGUUGGUU